rnacentral:rRNA from 1 species
UACAGAGGUCCCAAGCGUUGUUCGGAUUCAUUGGGCGUAAAGGGUGCGUAGGCGGCGCGGUAAGUCGGGUGUGAAAUCUCGGGGCUUAACUCCGAAACUGCAUUCGAUACUGCCGUGCUUGAGGACUGGAGAGGAGACUGGGAUUUACGGUGUAGCGGUGAAAUGCGUAGAUAUCGUAAGGAAGACCAGUGGCGAAGGCGGGUCUCUGGACAGUUCCUGACGCUGAGGCACGAAGGUCAGGGGAGCAAACGGG